UUGACGUAAACAAACUCUUCGCAACACACCAGUUUAAUUUUUUAUUUAAUGUAAAGAAGAAAAUAAAUAGACAUGGCAAAUCAAGACCCAGUGAAGAAUGAAGAUAUUUUAGAGAACGAGUUCUAUCAUCAGCUCUUGUCAGAAAAAUUCGAUGUGAAGGAACAUGCUAGCCAAGUCCUUCAAGGAUCUAUCGUGUCAGAGCAACUAGGAAAACUUGCAGACGGACUGUCUUUGCUUGACAAGGCGAUACAGAAUCAAGUAUCAGAGCAUUAUGAAGAUCUUCUGAAACAUGCUAGUGGAAUUGAAACAGUUGAAAAUUUCUAUCCAUGAUGCAGAACCAUAUUCAAGGCUUUUCAGCGUCCAUUGAAAGACUGAAGACUAGAAUUAGUGAACCCCACAACAAGUUGCAAACUUGUCCCCACAGCAGGCUGCAACUUUCAUGUGAACUUUUGAGGAGGAUCAUUCGGAUCUUGUCUCUAUCCAAGAGGCUUCAAGUCCAUUUGCAGGCAGGCCCAAAGGAAAUCACUAAAACUGCCCAAACCUUAAGUGAACUAGGUGGAGAGUUGAGCAUUUGGCGGAGUCGCGAAGGGAUCGGCUUAAUUUCUAUCGGUUUCCCUCCAUCAAUCAUUUUAUAGAUCAUACGAUAUCGUCGUCUGUGCAGUGACUCAGAGCUGCAACUAAUCCGUUGUCGUAGUGGAGAAAGUGGCAGUCGUCACCUCGAGGAUGUUCCUCCACAAAUUAUUUGUCCUGCUCUCCGUUGCUCCUCACCACCGUCUUCAUGUUCGGCGCCAUGAGAAAGUUAUUCGGUCGCACUUUGAGCGAAAGAAUAAUGGGCGUGAUUUUCACGAGGGAUACUCCGCUUCGUUUUGGGACUGGCGUUGCGUUGAAGAGGAUCUUCGGGUAUGAAACUUCGAUGGCGGCGGAUGUAGACGACCUCGUACUCGUCGACUUGCGACGAAUUGUCCACGCCGAAUGUCCGUCCCAACUCGUCGACAUUCAUCAACGUGUGCAAAGUGCGCAACAACUAAUACAGAAAAAGGAUUAUCUACCGGGAACAAAUUUUGCAAAUUACCAAGAUUUCGUCCAGGAAUCACUACAACCGGGGGGUGGGGUAUACCCCCACGUUGUCCAAAUUGAACUAGACAACAUCAUCAAGAAAAAAUUCUGGGUUAAAAAAGAGUAUACUUAUCCUAAGGGAAAUGAGUAUGCUUGUACAUUGCUGGUGUUUUUACCAGGCUUAAAAUACAAGGUCACAAUAAUUGAUUGCAUUAAGGACUACGCUAUCACGGAUGCCUACCUCAAGAUAUUUGAACUCCUUUAUCGAUUUGGAAAAAUACUCGUUUCAUUUUUCGCCAGCAAUUAAAAAGUGAAUGACAAUGCCGGAGAACAUAGGAGAGAUUUUGCGAUCGUAAUCAGCAACGGUUACGACGAAAUCUUUAAUAGAGGGUGUUUGUACAGUCGGGACACAAGGCGUGGGCAUGCGGGAUCUGCAAUCAACGUGACAAGUUCCUCUACAUUCGACACACUUCAAGGCGGGCUUGCCAAAUUUAAUCCUACGCUAUAAGAGGUUUCACUAAUUAAAUUAAAGCCCAGCACAUUUCCCAACGAAAAGAAAAGACAACACAACUCAUCUAUUGCCAUACUUACCAUACUUAUUGUCAUAGUAUAUAAAAGAUUCCCUUGGAGGCCUAUAUAGCAAAGGCACCUGCCUGGCAAAGGCAGGCGCUUUUGUUAUAUAUUCAAGCCACCCUUGGACAAGACACGAAAGGACAAGACAGUAAAUCCCUACAAACAGGUUUACAGACCACCGGCCAACAACACAGUGGGGGUUUACCUUGUGGAGGAUGAAAGGGAGGAGGAAGAUGAAGAUGAAGAAGAAGUGGAAGUUGGUUUGUCUAAGGCUGUGGACCAAGGACAGGGAUUGUGUGGACAAAUUGCGCCGGAUCCUGUUGACCAAACUGUUCGCGUUGGCAAAAAAGGAGGAAGAGGAAGCAAAGGAACCCCUGACCCUGCUACUUUAAGAGGAAUUGAUGGCUUGGCCGGACCACCUGGAGAAGUCGGUUCUUGUAGACCUGGCGGACUGCCGAAGGGGGCUGGUGCAGGAGAAGGGGCUGGAGGAAUUAGAAAACAAAAAGAGAAGGCGAGGCCAUCAUUGACAGUUGAGGAUUUUAAAAACGAAAACCAAUCAAUGGUGGCCGACAAGGAAAUGGGAAGGCAAGUUAGAUUUCAGUGGCAGCAAAUCUUUCUGGUCGGCUGCCUUACGUCUAAUGGCAGCCAACGCCAAGAAGAAGAGGCAAAUGAAAUUUCCGCACUAUGUUAUUGACGUGGAAUUUUCGCUGUUCCCCAAGGACAGCCCGGAUAAUUUGUGGUAUUUACCGAAUUUGCGGAAAACUUUCUUCACAUAUCUAACUGAAGAUUAGCAGCUGCAGACCAUGCUGGCAUUAACGUUUCCCAGAUCUUCCUCGGUCAGUUAGGGAGUUUCUCUAGCUGGCACGUAGAAUACCUGAACUUAAACUAUCUUCAUAACGUUUCAUCAUUAUAACCCAAAACGAAUAAGAAAUUUAUGCAAUCCUUCAUGAACAUUUGCAAUUAAUUAUCCUUUUAUAUUUCUUCGAAUAUCCCAAUUAUCCCCACAUUAUUAGUUUUAAAUUGAUAUUAUCUCCAAUAUUUUAAUUCGUAAAUAUUUGUGUAGUUUUCUAUGCAGAAUUAACACAAAUAUAUUAAGAACGAAAUAAAUUGUGUAUUUGCUAGACCAAAGAUUCAAAACCAA
rnacentral:lncRNA from 1 species